rnacentral:rRNA from 1 species
UACGAAGGGGGCUAGCGUUGUUCGGAUUUACUGGGCGUAAAGCGCACGUAGGCGGUUUGUUAAGUUAGGGGUGAAAUCCUGGAGCUCAACUCCAGAACUGCCUCUAAUACUGGCAAUCUAGAGUCCGGAAGAGGUGAGUGGAACUCCUAGUGUAGAGGUGGAAUUCGUAGAUAUUAGGAAGAACACCAGUGGCGAAGGCGGCUCACUGGUCCGGUACUGACGCUGAGGUGCGAAAGCGUGGGGAGCAAACAGG